GAUGAAGAACGUAGCGAAAUGCGAUACGUAAUGUGAAUUGCAGAAUUCAGUGAAUCAUCGAGUCUUUGAACGCACAUUGCGCCCCCUGGUAUUCCGGGGGGGCAUGCCUGUCCGAGCGUCAUUGCUGCCCUCAAGCACGGCUUGUGUGUUGGGCCUCCGUCCUCCUCCCGGGGGACGGGCCCGAAAGGCAGCGGCGGCACCGCGUCCGGUCCUCGAGCGUAUGGGGCUUCGUCACCCGCUCUUGUAGGCCCGGCCGGCGCUUGCCGACACAUCAAUCUUUUUUCCAGGUUGACCUCGGAUCAGGUAGGGAUACCCGCUGAACUUAAGCAUAUCAAUAAGCGGAGGA
rnacentral:misc_RNA from 1 species